rnacentral:rRNA from 1 species
UAUUGGACAAUGGGCGAAAGCCUGAUCCAGCCAUGCCGCGUGUGUGAAGAAGGUCUUCGGAUUGUAAAGCACUUUAAGUUGGGAGGAAGGGCAUUAACCUAAUACGUUAGUGUUUUGACGUUACCGACAGAAUAAGCACCGGCUAACUCUGUGCCAGCAGCCGCGGUAAUACAGAGGGUGCAAGCGUUAAUCGGAAUUACUGGGCGUAAAGCGCGCGUAGGUGGUUUGUUAAGUUGGAUGUGAAAUCCCCGGGCUCAACCUGGGAACUGCAUUCAAAACUGACUGACUAGAGUAUGGUAGAGGGUGGUGGAAUUUCCUGUGUAGCGGUGAAAUGCGUAGAUAUAGGAAGGAACACCAGUGGCGAAGGCGACCACCUGGACUAAUACUGACACUGAGGUGCGAAA